UCCCCUGUAGCUCAGUUGGUAGAGCAUGGUGUUUGCAACACCAGCAUGUGUGCAAUGCCAGGGUUGUGGGUUCAAUUCACACGGGGGGCC
rnacentral:tRNA from 1 species